AUUGGUACCUUGCUGGGGAAAUGCCACGUCAUAAAGGUGGUUUUCCCAGGGGAGGCUCAUCUAUUGCACUUUGGGUGUGUUGCUGAUCCCUGUGAUUUCCCCAAAUGUGGGAAAUUCAUCUGCAUAAAUUAUGUUAAUGGGAGGAUUACAUUUAUGAUUUCCCU
ensembl:snRNA U1 U1 spliceosomal RNA